rnacentral:rRNA from 1 species
AGAGUUUGAUCAUGGCUCAGGACGAACGCUGGCGGCGCGCUUCAUCCAUGCAAGUCGAACGAGCCCGGGACUUCGGUCCCAAUGGGAAAGUGGCGAACGGGUGAGUAACACGUGAGAAACCUACCCCGGAGAUGGGAAUAGCCCAGGGAAACCUGGAUUAAUACCCAAUACCCUGCUUGCACCUCAUGGUGCGCUCAGGAAAUGCUUUUGUGCUCCGGGAGGGUCUCGCGGCCUAUCAGCUUGUUGGUGAGGUAAUGGCUCACCAAGGCAUCGACGGGUAGCUGGUCUGAGAGGACGAUCAGCCACACUGGGACUGAGACACGGCCCAGACUCCUACGGGAGGCAGCAGGAGGGAAUAUUGCGCAAUGGGCGAAAGCCUGACGCAGCGACGCCGCGUGGGGGAAGAAGGCCUUCGGGUCGUAAACCCCUUUCAGCAGGGACGAAAUUGACGGUACCUGCAGAAGAAGCGCCGGCCAACUACGUGCCAGCAGCCGCGGUAAUACGUAGGGCGCAAGCGUUGUCCGGAUUCAUUGGGCGUAAAGGGCUCGUAGGCGGUUUGGUAAGUCGGGUGUGAAAACUCAGGGUUCAACUCUGAGACGCCACUCGAUACUGCCAUGACUAGAGUCCGGUAGGGGAGUGUAGAAUUCCUGGUGUAGCGGUGAAAU